rnacentral:rRNA from 1 species
AGAGUUUGAUCAUGGCUCAGAACGAACGCUGGCGGCAGGCUUAACACAUGCAAGUCGAACGGUUGUAGCAAUACAGCAGUGGCAGACGGGUGAGUAACACGUGGGAACCUUCCUAGGGGUACGGAACAACUCAGGGAAACUUGAGCUAAUACCGUAUACGUCCGUAAGGAGAAAGAUUCAUCGCCCCUAGACGGGCCCGCGUAGGAUUAGGUAGUUGGUGAGGUAACGGCUCACCAAGCCUACGAUCCUUAGCUGAUCUGAGAGGAUGAUCAGCCACACUGGGACUGAGACACGGCCCAGACUCCUACGGGAGGCAGCAGUGGGGAAUCUUGGACAAUGGGCGCAAGCCUGAUCCAGCCAUGCCGCGUGAGUGAAGAAGGCCUUCGGGUUGUAAAGCCCUUUUACCAGGGACGAUAAUGACGGUACCUGAGAAUA